UACGUAGGGUGCAAGCGUUGUCCGGAAUUAUUGGGCGUAAAGAGCUCGUAGGCGGUCUGUCGCGUCUGCUGUGAAAACUCAGGGCUUAACCCUGAGCUUGCAGUGGGUACGGGCAGACUAGAGUGCGGUAGGGGAGACUGGAAUUCCUGGUGUAGCGGUGAAAUGCGCAGAUAGUCAGGAGGAACACCGGUGGCGAAGGCGGGUCUCUGGGCCGAUACUGACGCUGGAGGAGCGAAAGCGUGGGAGCGAACAGG
rnacentral:rRNA from 1 species